UGUAGUCAUAUGCUUGUCUCAAAGAUUAAGCCAUGCAUGUCUAAGUAUAAGCAACUAUACGGUGAAACUGCGAAUGGCUCAUUAAAUCAGUUAUCGUUUAUUUGAUAGUACCUUACUACAUGGAUAACCGUGGUAAUUCUAGAGCUAAUACAUGCUAAAAACCUCGACUUCGGAAGGGGUGUAUUUAUUAGAUAAAAAACCAAUGCCCUUCGGGGCUCCUUGGUGAAUCAUAAUAACUUAACGAAUCGCAUGGCCUUGCGCCGGCGAUGGUUCAUUCAAAUUUCUGCCCUAUCAACUUUCGAUGGUAGGAUAGUGGCCUACCAUGGUAUCAACGGGUAACGGGGAAU
rnacentral:rRNA from 1 species